rnacentral:lncRNA from 1 species
CUAGCAGAUAGCAGUUAGAUUUUGAUUUUCACUUUCCGGGUGUCGGAAUGACAUGAAGCUUUAAAUCUAGCCUUAGAAAAAUAAUUCUGACAUAUUCUCAAAUUUUCGUAUUGUUCUGACACUGUAGAUUAGCCCCAUUUCUUACAGAAAAUUCUAAAUCUCUUAUUUUUAUUCCAAUUUCACCGUAAAAUAUUUCUAAAUUAUCUUUUACUUUUUCUAAGUCAAUAAAAAUAGUAUUUCUCACUAUUUUUAUUUACACUUGAUUUUACUAAAAUAACCUUCAAAAUCUGCAUUUUGCAGAAUUGCGUACUG